UACGUAGGGUGCAAGCGUUGUCCGGAAUUAUUGGGCGUAAAGAGCUCGUAGGCGGUCUGUUACGUCGGCUGUGAAAACCUGGGGCUCAACCCCGGGCCUGCAGCCGAUACGGGCAGACUAGAAUUCGGUAGGGGAGACUGGAAUUCCUGGUGUAGCGGUGAAGUGCGCAGAUAUCAGGAGGAACACCGGUGGCGAAGGCGGGUCUCUGGGCCGAUAUUGACGCUGAGGAGCGAAAGCGUGGGGAGCGAACAGG
rnacentral:rRNA from 1 species